AUUGAGGUGUCUGAAUAAAGUGAUAAACUGUAAAUUUAUUUAAGAAUUAAAUUCUCUCAAUA
rnacentral:tRNA from 1 species